rnacentral:rRNA from 1 species
ACGCUCGACACCUACUGGAGGCAGCAGUGAGGAAUAUUGGUCAAUGGGCGCUAGCCUGAACCAGCCAAGUAGCGUGAAGGAUGAAGGCUCUAUGGGUCGUAAACUUCUUUUAUAUAAGAAUAAAGUGCAGUAUGUAUACUGUUUUGUAUGUAUUAUAUGAAUAAGGAUCGGCUAACUCCGUGCCAACAGCCGCGGUAAUCUGAGCGGGCUGGCAAGGC